AUGAAACAUCACAGUUUCCAUCUCUGUCUCUCUUUAGCUGCGGCUCGUCCCGCUCUCACAGUGCUGCUGCCCUCCAGAGACGAGCUGCAGCAGGGGAAGGCUACAGUGCUGUGUGUGGCCAGUAAGGGAUACCCCUCUGACUGGAAGCUGAGCUGGAAGGUGGACUGCAGCAGCAGGAGCUCUGGUGUGGAUCUGAGUCCCAGUCAGCUGCAGAAGGAUGGACUGUACAGCUGGAGCAGCAGCCUGAGCCUCACUGAGAGUGAGUGGAGCAGAGCAGCAACCGUCAGCUGUGAAGCCACGACUGCAAUUCUCUGAAAGUUUUGUUGCUCAUUUUAUUCUC